CACGUAGGUGCAAGCGUUGUCCGGAAUUAUUGGCGUAAAGAGCUCGUAGGCGGUCUGUUGCGUCGGCGUGUGAAACCGGGCUCAACCCGGCCUGCAGCCGAUACGGCAGACUAGAGUCGGCAGGGAGACUGGAAUCCUGGUGUAGCGGUGAAUGCGCAGAUAUCAGGAGGAACACCGGUGGCGAAGGCGGUCUCUGGCCGAAACUGACGCUGAG
rnacentral:rRNA from 1 species